rnacentral:rRNA from 1 species
CGGGACACGUGGUAUCCUGUCUGAAUAUGGGGGGACCAUCCUCCAAGGCUAAAUACUCCUGACUGACCGAUAGUGAACCAGUACCGUGAGGGAAAGGCGAAAAGAACCCCGGCGAGGGGAGUGAAAAAGAACCUGAAACCGUGUACGUACAAGCAGUGGGAGCACAGAGCAAUCUGUGUGACUGCGUACCUUUUGUAUAAUGGGUCAGCGACUUAUAUUCUGUAGCAAGGUUAACCGAAUAGGGGAGCCGAAGGGAAACCGAGUCUUAACCGGGCGUUAAGUUGCAGGGUAUAGACCCGAAACCCGGUGAUCUAGCCAUGGGCAGGUUGAAGGUUGGGUAACACUAACUGGAGGACCGAACCGACUAAUGUUGAAAAAUUAGCGGAUGACUUGUGGCUGGGGGUGAAAGGCCAAUCAAACCGGGAGAUAGCUGGUUCUCCCCGAAAGCUAUUUAGGUAGCGCCUCGUGAAUUCAUCUCCGGGGGUAGAGCACUGUUUCGGCAAGGGGGUCAUCCCGACUUACCAACCCGAUGCAAACUGCGAAUACCGGAGAAUGUUAUCACGGGAGACACACGGCGGGUGCUAACGUCCGUCGUGAAGAGGGAAACAACCCAGACCGCCAGCUAAGGUCCCAAAGUCAUGGUUAAGUGGGAAACGAUGUGGGAAGGCCCAGACAGCCAGGAUGUUGGCUUAGAAGCAGCCAUCAUUUAAAGAAAGCGUAAUAGCUCACUGGUCGAGUCGGCCUGCGCGGAAGAUGUAACGGGGCUAAACCAUGCACCGAAGCUGCGGCAGCGACACUGUGUGUUGUUGGGUAGGGGAGCGUUCUGUAAGCCUGUGAAGGUGUACUGUGAGGUAUGCUGGAGGUAUCAGAAGUGCGAAUGCUGACAUAAGUAACGAUAAAGCGGGUGAAAAGCCCGCUCGCCGGAAGACCAAGGGUUCCUGUCCAACGUUAAUCGGGGCAGGGUGAGUCGACCCCUAAGGCGAGGCCGAAAGGCGUAGUCGAUGGGAAACAGGUUAAUAUUCCUGUACUUGGUGUUACUGCGAAGGGGGGACGGAGAAGGCUAUGUUGGCCGGGCGACGGUUGUCCCGGUUUAAGCGUGUAGGCUGGUUUUCCAGGCAAAUCCGGAAAAUCAAGGCUGAGGCGUGAUGACGAGGCACUACGGUGCUGAAGCAACAAAUGCCCUGCUUCCAGGAAAAGCCUCUAAGCAUCAGGUAACAUCAAAUCGUACCCCAAACCGACACAGGUGGUCAGGUAGAGAAUACCAAGGCGCUUGAGAGAACUCGGGUGAAGGAACUAGGCAAAAUGGUGCCGUAACUUCGGGAGAAGGCACGCUGAUAUGUAGGUGAAGUCCCUCGCGGAUGGAGCUGAAAUCAGUCGAAGAUACCAGCUGGCUGCAACUGUUUAUUAAAAACACAGCACUGUGCAAACACGAAAGUGGACGUAUACGGUGUGACGCCUGCCCGGUGCCGGAAGGUUAAUUGAUGGGGUCAGCGCAAGCGAAGCUCUUGAUCGAAGCCCCGGUAAACGGCGGCCGUAACUAUAACGGUCCUAAGGUAGCGAAAUUCCUUGUCGGGUAAGUUCCGACCUGCACGAAUGGCGUAAUGAUGGCCAGGCUGUCUCCACCCGAGACUCAGUGAAAUUGAACUCGCUGUGAAGAUGCAGUGUACCCGCGGCAAGACGGAAAGACCCCGUGAACCUUUACUAUAGCUUGACACUGAACAUUGAGCCUUGAUGUGUAGGAUAGGUGGGAGGCUUUGAAGUGUGGACGCCAGUCUGCAUGGAGCCGACCUUGAAAUACCACCCUUUAAUGUUUGAUGUUCUAACGUGGACCCGUGAUCCGGGUUGCGGACAGUGUCUGGUGGGUAGUUUGACUGGGGCGGUCUCCUCCUAAAGAGUAACGGAGGAGCACGAAGGUUGGCUAAUCCUGGUCGGACAUCAGGAGGUUAGUGCAAUGGCAUAAGCCAGCUUGACUGCGAGCGUGACGGCGCGAGCAGGUGCGAAAGCAGGUCAUAGUGAUCCGGUGGUUCUGAAUGGAAGGGCCAUCGCUCAACGGAUAAAAGGUACUCCGGGGAUAACAGGCUGAUACCGCCCAAGAGUUCAUAUCGACGGCGGUGUUUGGCACCUCGAUGUCGGCUCAUCACAUCCUGGGGCUGAAGUAGGUCCCAAGGGUAUGGCUGUUCGCCAUUUAAAGUGGUACGCGAGCUGGGUUUAGAACGUCGUGAGACAGUUCGGUCCCUAUCUGCCGUGGGCGCUGGAGAACUGAGGGGGGCUGCUCCUAGUACGAGAGGACCGGAGUGGACGCAUCACUGGUGUUCGGGUUGUCAUGCCAAUGGCACUGCCCGGUAGCUAAAUGCGGAAGAGAUAAGUGCUGAAAGCAUCUAAGCACGAAACUUGCCCCGAGAUGAGUUCUCCCUGACCCUUUAAGGGUCCUGAAGGAACGUUGAAGACGACGACGUUGAUAGGCCGGGUGUGUAAGCGCAGCGAUGCGUUGAGCUAACCGGUACUAAUGAACCGUGAGGCUUAACCUU